CUACGGGGCGCUCCAGUGGGGAAUAUUGCACAAUGGGGGGAACCCUGAUGCAGCAACGCCGCGUGGAGGAUGACACAUUUCGGUGCGUAAACUCCUUUUAUAUAAGAAGAUAAUGACGGUAUUAUAUGAAUAAGCACCGGCUAACUCCGUGCCAGCAGCCGCGGUAAUACGGGGGGUGCAAGCGUUACUCGGAAUCACUGGGCGUAAAGAGCAUGUAGGCGGGUAGAAAAGUUGGAAGUGAAAUCCUAUGGCUUAACCAUAGAACUGCUUCCAAAACUCUUUACCUGGAAUAUGGGAGAGGUAGAUGGAAUUUCUGGUGUAGGGGUAAAAUCCGUAGAGAUCAGAAGGAAUACCGAUUGCGAAGGCGAUCUACUGGAACAUUAUUGACGCUCAGAUGCGAAAGCGUGGGGAGCAAACAGGAUUAGAUACCCGCGUAGUC
rnacentral:rRNA from 1 species